rnacentral:rRNA from 1 species
UGGGGAAUUUUGGACAAUGGGGGAAACCCUGAUCCAGCCAUCCCGCGUGUGCGAUGAAGGCCUUCGGGUUGUAAAGCACUUUUGGCAGGAAAGAAACGUCAUGGGUUAAUACCCCGUGAAACUGACGGUACCUUCAGAAUAAGCACCGGCUAACUACGUGCCAGCAGCCGCGGUAAUACGUAGGGUGCAAGCGUUAAUCGGAAUUACUGGGCGUAAAGCGUGCGCAGGCGGUUCGGAAAGAAAGAUGUGAAAUCCCAGAGCUCAACUUUGGAACUGCAUUAUUAACUACCGGGCUAGAGUGUGUGAGAGGGAGGUGGAAUUCCGCGUGUAGCAGUGAAAUGCGUAGAUAUGAGGAGGAACACCGAUGGCGAAGGCAGCCUCCUGGGAUAACACGGACGCUCAUGCACGGAAGCGUGGGGAGCAAACAGG